GGUGGGAUUGCUGGGUCAUAUGGUAAGUAUGUGUUUAUAGGAAACUGCCAAACUGUUUUCCAGAGUGGCUGUGCCAUUUUUCAUUCUCACUAGCAAU
rnacentral:pre_miRNA from 1 species